UUAUCUCUGUAGAGUCUGCAUAUCAAUAAGCGGAGGAAAAGAAGCUAACUAGGAUUCCCUUAGUAACGGCGAGUGAAGCGGGAAGAGCUCAAAUUUGAAAUCUUCAAGGUUCUACCUUGACGAAUUGUAGUUUAAAGAAGUGUUUUCUGUUGGAGUUUUGGUAAAAGUUCUUUGGAAUAGGACAUCAUAGAGGGUGAGAAUCCCGUAUUUGACCAUUUCUUCCAGCUGUGUGAUACACUUUCAAAGAGUCGGAUUGUUUGGGAAUGCAGUCCAAAAUGGGUGGUAAAUUUCAUCUAAAGCUAAAUAUUGGCGAGAGACCGAUAGCGAACAAGUACCGUGAGGGAAAGAUGAAAAGAACUUUGAAAAGAGAGUUAAACAGUACGUGAAAUUGUCAAAAGGGAAGCGUUUGACACCAGUGUUGUUUUCUCGAAAAUCAAUUAAAAAUGGCCGGAUUUUGUGUUGUAUUGACUUUAUCAGCUUUCUGCACUUUUUUCUUGUCUUUUUUAAUGCACUUUUCGUUUAACAAGUCAACAUCAAUUUCUUUUGUUGUAAAAGAGUCAUUGGAAGGUGGCUUUCACUUCGGUGAAAGUGUUUAUAGCCUUUGGCUUCUGCAAUCGGAGAGAUUGAGGUCUGCAGCGUAGAUCCUUCGGGGUUAGAUACAUUUGUGCUAAGUUAUAGUUUUUCAUAGACAACAUUGUUGACUAUGAUUUAAUCAUGUAGCUUACUCGCUUAUGUAUUUUACCUACGCUUAGGAUGUUGAAUCUGUGCGAGACUAC
rnacentral:rRNA from 1 species